rnacentral:misc_RNA from 1 species
AAGUCGUAACAAGGUUUCCGUAGGUGAACCUGCGGAAGGAUCAUUAUCGAUUCUGAAGGAUGUGCUGGCUUAACUGCAUGUGCACUCCGAAAUCUUCAUCCACCUGUGCACUCUAUGUAGGCGAAAGAGAGCAAUCUCUUUCUGUCUAUGCUUUUAUAUACCCCUUUUAAACAUCUUAUGAAUGUAAACUAGGCUUGCUUAAAACACAAGUCGAAAUUUAAAACAACUUUCAACAAUGGAUCUCUUGGUUCUC